rnacentral:sRNA from 1 species
AGUCGAUAUUCUUGUAGUGUAGGUGAACUAAUCAAGCUUAAUGAUAUAACCCGAUUUUCACCGAUUUUAUCUAUGUUUUAGGUAUAGGAUUUUAAGUCUUUAUGUUAUUUCUCGAGUCUUUUUAGUGUCUUUUCAGGUAUUCUAUGCAGUGGGACAACAAUGGAGAUAAGGAGACAUUUUGGAGCAAAAGCUAAGGAAAAGGAAGGUAAGGACGAUUUUGGCUCAGGAAUCAGCGAGGAGUGUCGACCGACACACUCUUGCUAACGAUCGACACCAGUUUCGGCCCAGCAAAAACCCUACACGCUUUCAAGUUUUCAGAAGCUCAAGUUUAUCCAGAAGACUUCCCUAUUUGCAUUACUAGUCCCUGGACA